UACGAAGGGGGCUAGCGUUGCUCGGAAUCACUGGGCGUAAAGCGCACGUAGGCGGAUUGUUAAGUCAGGGGUGAAAUCCUGGAGCUCAACUCCAGAACUGCCUUUGAUACUGAAGAUCUUGAGUGCGGGAGAGGUGAGUGGAACUGCGAGUGUAGAGGUGAAAUUCGUAGAUAUUCGCAAGAACACCAGUGGCGAAGGCGGCUCACUGGCCCGAUACUGACGCUGAGGCACGAAAGCGUGGGGAGCAAACAGG
rnacentral:rRNA from 1 species